CCUACGGGGGGCAGCAGUGGGGAAUAUUGGACAAUGGGGGGAACCCUGAUCCAGCCAUGCCGCGUGUGUGAAGAAGGCCCUCGGGUUGUAAAGCACUUUCAGUGAGGAAGAACGCCUGGUGGUUAAUACCCAUCAGGAAAGACAUCACCCACAGAAGAAGCACCGGCUAACUCCGUGCCAGCAGCCGCGGUAAUACGGAGGGUGCGAGCGUUAAUCGGAAUUACUGGGCGUAAAGCGGCGUAGGUGGCUUGAUAAGCCGGUUGUGAAAGCCCCGGGCUCAACCUGGGAACGGCAUCCGGAACUGUCAAGCUAGAGUGCAGGAGAGGAAGGUAGAAUUCCCGGUGUAGCGGUGAAAUGCGUAGAGAUCGGGAGGAAUACCAGUGGCGAAGGCGGCCUUCUGGACUGACACUGACGCUGAGGUGCGAAAGCGUGGGUAGCAAACAGGAUUAGAUACCCGGGUAGUC
rnacentral:rRNA from 1 species